rnacentral:rRNA from 1 species
AUUGAACGCUGGCGGCAUGCUUUACACAUGCAAGUCGAACGGCAGCGCGGGCUUCGGCCUGGCGGCGAGUGGCCAACGGGUGAGUAAUACAUCGGAACGUGCCCAGUAGUGGGGGAUAGCUCGGCGAAAGGCGGAUUAAUACCGCAUACGACCUGAGGGUGAAAGCGGGGGAUCUUCGGACCUCGCGCUAUUGGAGCGGCCGAUGGCAGAUUAGCUAGUUGGUGGGGUAAAGGCCUACCAAGGCGACGAUCUGUAGCUGGUCUGAGAGGACGACCAGCCACACUGGGACUGAGACACGGCCCAGACUCCUACGGGAGGCAGCAGUGGGGAAUUUUGGACAAUGGGCGAAAGCCUGAUCCAGCAAUGCCGCGUGUGUGAUGAAGGCCUUCGGGUUGUAAAGCACUUUUGGCGGGAACGAAAAGGACUGUGCCAAUACCACGGUUCGAUGACGGUACCCGCAGAAUAAGCACCGGCUAACUACGUG